CCUACGGGUGGCAGCAGUCGAGAAUCAUUCACAAUGGGGGAAACCCUGAUGCUGCGAAGUCGCGUGGGGGAAUGCUGGCCUUCGGAUUGUAAACCUCUGUUAUGUGGGAGCAAAUUCAAAAGAUAGUACCCCAAGAGGAAGAGACGGCCAACUCUGUGCCAGCAGCCGCGGUAAUACAGAGGUCUCAAGCGUUGUUCGGAAUCACUGGGGGUAAAGCGUGUGUAUGCUGUUUCGUAAGUCGUGUGUGAAAGUCGCGGGCUCAAACCGCGGACGGCACAUGAUACUGCGAGACUAGAGUAAGGGAGAGGGAACCGGAAUGCUCGGUGUAGCAGUGAAAUGCGUAGAUAUCGCGAGGAACACU
rnacentral:rRNA from 1 species